GGCGCUAUAGCCAAGUGGUUACGGCGAUAGAUUCGAAUGCGUGUUCAUCUAUUACUCUCUGAGUGCGCAGGUUCAAAUCCUGCUGGUGUCG